CCGACCAUGCGGUGGCGCGUGGAUGGAGGGGCUUACGCCGCAUACCAUGAAAGAGAACCAAAUGGAAAAGGAGCUGGUGCAGACAAAUUUCAAGUGGAAGAACGCCGAAGAGAAAUUUCCUAAACGCACAGCCAGAGGAGUAGACGAGGUUCCCGUUAGGCUGAUUAAUGAACUAGGACCAAAAACCAUUUAUAAUGCAGCACGAGAAAACGAGCAACUGGCUGCUUUAACACUGGGCCUGGCAAUUGAAGAUGACAGCAACCAGCACAGAAGGCGGCGGCGACGGUGUGCCGCAUGAUUGACUUCUUCAGAUGAGGACCGUGUGUCUGGUGCAGACAAUGGUGGCUUUUUACAAGGCUUGAGGGAAACUUUUCCAACGCAUUCACGUCUGCAAGCAAGCUUCGCUGUCCCUCCUGAGCCUCUAGUCUCGCAGAAUAGUACCAGUAGCCGUUCGACUGAUGUGCCUUUCAUGUUGAUGAACUCUGAGCACUCUGGAUCUUCAGCCAUGCCUGCAUCAUCAGUGCAAGGUCAAACAUGCAGAGAGGGAUUCACAGAAGUCAAGACUGCAGAAGAAAAUUCUGAAGGAGUUGGAAGAGAUGAGAGCAGAGCUCUCAGCGUAAGGAGAGAUCUUAAUGAAGUUGGAAAUGUUGUACUCGCUGCAAGCACAUGCCUGAAGUUCCAGACCUGUUGGCAAUAGCGUCCUUGAUGUGCUACCAUCGACAUCCCGUGAAGGGUUUCAGGAGCUCGAGAGUCAACUCUCUAUUGCCCAGAGCAGGAAUAACUGUGUGCCGAGGCACUGCUUUCAGCGGUCACCAUUCCAAGCCGUCGGUAUCAUCCCUUGAGGACGACAGAUCGACAUGUGCACCUGCUUGCAGUGACGAGAGGAAGUGGACCCUGACGUGGCGCUGCCAUCGACACUACUUAAACCGCGCUCAUCACUCUGCACUUCGGUUGGCAGCAACGGCUUUGGCAACAAGUUUCUGCCGAGGCAGUGAAGAACUUCCCUGAUGCCACCGACAUGAUGGUGCGGUCAUAUGCUGCUGAUUGGCUGUGUUGUGCUUCAUCAACGAUUUAGAGAAGCAUUAGAGUGCACUGGAGGAUGCCAGCUGUGCCGAUAGUGUAAAGAAUAAAUCAGUUUUUGAGCAAAGCUUUCAGAAACAAUAAAGUGACUUUUUCCACCCAA
rnacentral:lncRNA from 1 species